GACGAACGCUGGCGGCGUGCUUAACACAUGCAAGUCGAGCGGUAAGGCCCUUUCGGGGGUACACGAGCGGCGAACGGGUGAGUAACACGUGGGUGACCUGCCCUCAGCUCUGGGAUAAGCCUGGGAAACCGGGUCUAAUACUGGAUAUGACUCCAUGACGCAUGUUGUGGGGUGGAAAGCCUUGUGCGGCUGAGGAUGGGCCCGCGGCCUAUCAGCUUGUUGGUGGGGNGAUGGCCUACCAAGGCGACGACGGGUAGCCGGCCUGAGAGGACGACCAGCCACACUGGGACUGAGACACGGCCCAGACUCCUACGGGAGGCAGCAGUGGGGAAUAUUGGACAAUGGGGGCAACCCUGAUCCAGCAAUGCCGCGUGUGUGAAGAAGGCCUCGG
rnacentral:rRNA from 1 species